UACAGAGGUCUCAAGCGUUGUUCGGAUUCAUUGGGCGUAAAGGGUGCGUAGGCGGCGCGGUAAGUCGGGUGUGAAAUCUCGGAGCUUAACUCCGAAACUGCAUUCGAUACUGCCGUGCUUGAGGACUGGAGAGGAGACUGGAAUUUACGGUGUAGCUGGUGAAAUGCGUAGAUAUCGUAAGGAAGACCAGUGACGAAGGCGGGUCUCUGGACAGUUCCUGACGCUGAGGCACGAAGGUCAGGGGAGCAAACGGG
rnacentral:rRNA from 1 species